rnacentral:rRNA from 1 species
GAUGAACGCUGGCGGAGUGCCUAAUACAUGCAAGUCGAGCGAACAGACGAGGAGCUUGCUCCUCUGACGUUAGCGGCGGACGGGUGAGUAACACGUGGAUAACCUACCUAUAAGACUGGGAUAACUUCGGGAAACCGGAGCUAAUACCGGAUAAUAUAUUGAACCGCAUGGUUCAAUAGUGAAAGACGGUUUUGCUGUCACUUAUAGAUGGAUCCGCGCCGCAUUAGCUAGUUGGUAAGGUAACGGCUUACCAAGGCAACGAUGCGUAGCCGACCUGAGAGGGUGAUCGGCCACACCGGAACUGAGACACGGUCCAGACUCCUACGGGAGGCAGCAGUAGGGAAUCUUCCGCAAUGGGCGAAAGCUUGACGGAGCAACGCCGCGUGAGUGAUGAAGGUCUUCGGAUCGUAAAACUCUGUUAUUAGGGAAGAACAAAUGUGUAAGUAACUAUGCACGUCUUGACGGUACCUAAUCAGAAAGCCACGGCUAACUACGUG